AUGAUAAUUGGUUCAACACAAAGUAUAUUUUUGUUUUUAUUCAAAGUAAGAUCACUAUUUGUUCAUUUAUCGGUAGUCUUUGUCAUGUGCAGAAUCUUUCAUUAUUUGGAUCAUGACAUCAAGACCUAAAAAUAAACUUGGAUACGUGAUACGGACAAUCGCCCAGUUUUUAAUAUCUGCAAUUGUAAAAUCGCCUAUCUAAUAGAAGUUUGGUUUUAAUUUUUCUGGGAAAAUUGAUUGGUAUAUGUUUGUUGACAAGAGAAAUGAAAUUGUAAAUUAGUGAUUCACAUGACUGAAGCUAAUUCGUCACAAAAAUUGAGUUGCCCUUUCAAUGUUUGGAAUGAAUGCAAUAAAUAGAUAGUGCAGAGCAAUUGCUUAAAUUGUUCAAAUUACCAUGCAUUUACCUACACACUGAAGAAUUUUGAGUGAUUUAGUUAUCUAUAUUUAAAUUAAAUGUUAAACAAUUUUUGUAUCAGGUAACAUCAAAUGAGCUGGCCGAACAUUUGCUGCAGUAUGCACACUUCCCAGGAGCUGGAGGAAUUCGCAGUAACCAGAGGAAGUUCUAUGAUUUGGGUGAAUUUCCUGGAGUUACUGGUUGCAUUGAUUGCACACACAUCUGCAUUAGCAAUCCUGGUGGCCAAUUUCCUGAGUUGUACCGUAACAGGAAACAGUACAUGUCAUUGAAUGUUCAGGUUGUUGCAGGUCCUAACCUAGAGAUCAUGGACAUUGUAAAAUGAUGGCCUGGUAGUACCCAUGAUGCCAGGAUAUUUAGUAACAGUAGGGUGAUGGUUAGGUUUGAAAAUCAAGGACUACCAGGAAUACUUCUAGGAGAUAAUGGAUAUCCACAGUUGACAUUCCUGUACACACCAGUACCGGUCCCAACAACAGCAGCAGCUGAUAUUUGAUACAAUGUAGCUCACAGAAGAACGAGAAACAUUGUAGAAUGGUUAUUUGGAGUGUGGAAGAGACAGUUCGCAAGCCUUGGACAAAAACUGCGAAUGAAACUGGCAACUUUAAAGAAGGUGAUUCUUGCAUGUGCUGUGCUGCACAACAUUGCAGAGCCACUGCCACCUCCAGUAAAUGAGCUUCGUGUUCUACCUGCAGUUCCAGUUGCAAAUUUGCAUCCACGUAACAACCGAGGAGCUGCGUUGAGGGCAAUGUUCAUUGAACGUCAUUUCACAUGAGUACAAUCUAGAACAUGGAAUGUAAUAGGCCUCUCGGGGAAUCUCGCCAUGUAUAAAAAAAAAAGGAGAUAUGCAUUGAGCAUUAUACCUCCUGAGGGUUUUCACUAAGGUGAUGUGGAAACUGGUGCAAUGAGUCAAUAUGCAAGUACAUAAAUGGGUAAGUUUUGUGCCAUUUUUGUAUAAUUAUGUUUAUUUGUUGGGUUUGAUUUAUCCAAACUAAAAUUAAUGGAGCUUUUAUAUUUUUUUUAACAUGUUUGUGUUUUUAGGAGUUACACAAAAAUUUUUUCAUUUUUAAGGUGGCAGUUAGCAGGUUUUUUUCGUUUGUCUUAACCACUUAAGCAAAAAUUAAGGAUGUUAUAACAUUUUUGAAUUUUACAAAGAAGGUUAUGUGAGGCCUAUGGGAAUCAUAUAAAUGUGGUAUGAAAAUAGUUGAUUUAUAUAAAUUCAAAAUAUAAUCAUUAAUAAUUUUUUAUUAAGUUAACACCUGGCAUAACACACCAAUAUUUAAACAGCUGAAAUGGUCAAGUAUCAUUAUUGCAAGUUUAAAAUAUUAAAUUCAAAUUAUUUUUAGAGUAUUGUUGACAUAUUUAUAAUCAUUAACAAACUUAAUGGGAAAGAGAUGCAUAGUAAAUACAUCAACAAAAAUUAUAAUACAUUCAAUAACGUCUUAACAAUUUUAAUGCAAAAGGCUAUGUUUUUCCCCCCUCUUUAUCUGUCCAUUGUAGUGUGUUGUGUGAGGCAGGCUAGAGAUGGGACACUGCAGGUAAUGGAGAGUACUGCUAUAGGCUCCACAGGUACAAGAGGCAAACUAAGAAGGGUCAUAUCCAUGAAGAAGAUCAUAAGAAGAUCAUAUCCAUGAUCACAAGGUGAGACAGUGUGAUAGCAUAAUUGUCCGGUGUUCAAUCCUUUUGCAGUAAGCGAAAGAAGUAUCCCCAAAACCUGAUUUUUAAAAUAAUGUAACCAAAAUCACAAUUUAGUAAUGUGAACCUAACACGCAAAUUAAUAAUAAAAAAUUCCACAAUUUGAAAAUAGUUAAUUACCUACCAUAGAAUGUAUACAAUUUUACCGUCCAUUGCCAUUUCCAGAGUUCAGUAGUUUCAUUCGCGACUGGUGCUCUUCCUCGCGAUGUUUCUUUGCUCAUGUAGCUCUUUGGCAUAUCUUGCUGUCGUUCGUGCUGCCCUAAUGCAAAGUUUUUGUUCUAGAAUUAACAGCUCAUGAUGCUCUACUUCCCUUUUCUCCAUCCCGUAAAUUUUCUGGAGGCUAUGCUGUAAUUCAUCCUCUAUUGCAACCUCACGACGAGUAUAUGCCUUAUUAGAGCGUGAAUAAAUGGGAGCAUCCUUCUGCAUGUGUAUGCCAUCAACCUCAUGAGACACAUCUUCAUACAUGGUUUCUGACAUAGGUAGCUCGUAAUCGUGGUCCAGUGCGAUGUAAUAGUAUUAUCCAUCAAAAAUUGAUGUGAACUGAGAUAAAUAUUGUAGGCCAUUAAAAAAAUUUUAUUUACAGUUCUGACAGUCUAAUGCAUGUUAUUCAUACAAAAUGGCUCAAAUGUCAUUACAAAUAAAUGCCUUAUAUUGAUAAUUCUGUGUGAGGGAGGAAGAAUACAAAAUCUAAAGAAUGCAGAUACUAAUGAAAAUUUUCCAACACACUUCGUAGUAAUACAUUAUAACAAAUUUAACACUGAGAUUUCACUGCAUUCAAUGAAGCACAUUGAAUUAAGCAAUAACAAAACACAUUAUCAACUUCUGAUUAACGAGAGAGAUUAUGUAUAUGUGUAUAUAUGUAGGUAGGUAUAUAUUGAAAUGCCCCUUGUGCCUCAAAAUUAAAUUAUUUUAAUUUAAUUAAAAAAAAAACUUGGAAACUGCUGGGCAAAAUAUUAAGAAAAAUAAAGUUAUUGACCAGAGGUGGCACGAGGUGGAGAACAAGACAGUUUGGAACUCCCUGACACAAGCAACUUGGGAGCUAGUGGAUCGUUUAAAAGGAUAUAGUUGAAUAUGAAACAAAUAAAUCAUAAUUUAGGUAGAUUAGUCUAUAGGUUUCCUGGGUUUAUUUAGAAUGGUAAAUUAAAUAUGUUUUCCCUUUGUUUUGGUUUUACAAUAAAAUAUAUUAACACCUAACAAGUAGAAGGACCGGCCUGAUAUUAUUAAUAACAUGUUAUAUUAUAUUAAUAACACAUCAUCACAGAAACAAAAAAAAAUUGAAAUAUUCCACCCUAUUAGAUUCUUUUGCUGUUUGUAUAGAUAAUAGUCUCAUUGAUUUUACAUAUUAUCGUUGAUUAAGUUCUUAAGUCACUGUUUGCUGGUAUGCAUUUAAUUAAUUUAGUUCAUUAUAUGUAAGGGGAAAAUAUAUUUCUAAUAUCACCCGAGUCUUCAAAGUAUGACGUCGGGCUGGGAAAAGGGGAAAAUAUAUUUUUAAUAUCACCCGGGUCUUCAAAGUAUGAUGUCGGGCUGGGAAAAGGGGAAAAUAUAUUUCUAAUAUCACCCGGGUCUUCAAAGUAUGAUGUCGGGCUGGGAAAAAUUCUCUUCUUAAGGGUACUCGGAGCUCGAGGUCCCGAAUGACAUGCUGGGAGCAAAUAUUCCCCCAACACUUAGACCAUGUCUGAAACACAAGUCAAAUUUCAAACGAAUUAGACCUGCUUCUAGACAGUCAAACACAGUCGGCGCGAAAAGGCCAACAAACAGGGAUUCGGGAAGAAAAAAGACCGGAUUACUCACCAAACAGGGUGUAGCUCCUGGGCUUAGGAAAUGUCUCGCGCCGACAUCCAAAUGGCGCGGACCGAAAAUACAGCGGAUGACGCGGAGAAACCAUGAUUUAGGAAGAUACAGAAAUUAAUAAAAUGUUAACUAAAACAUUAUUCGUUGCCUACAUACAACGACUAACCGGCUACUGCUACAUUAGAUUCUGGGAUCACAUCCCUAAACACCGAUGACUAUUUCGAAAUCAGAGUUUUUCGUUGCCGAGAAGACGCGGUAAGUAGCCGAAGUCAGAGUACUAAGUGCGCGGUGGCGGACAAAACUCCUAAUUAAAAUGGGCGGUCAGCCCUAGGGAAAAGUAGGGGAAGGUUCGGCUCUAGGCCGAAAAUUUCCGAAGGAGUCCGAGGUGGGCAUGACAACAACACAACAUGCGCGCUCUCUCCGGCGGUAACAGGAAGCUACAAAGAAUCGACUUGAACUCGACGCGACUUGAAAGCAUAGGGGCUUAUGGCGCCGCGGAGCAGCUCUCUAGCGGCAUAAAGGGGAACUAACGGAGGAGGUGAGCUGAAUCGCAGCCAGGUGUCACGGGCGUGUACUCUGCACGCUGGCGACCAGGGCCGAAGUUACAUUUCUGUCACUAGGUGUCUUGGAGGGCUCUGUAGGGCAAGGGCGAAUGUCAUUGGAGUAGGCCACUGCCUUGGCGAGUUCACGUACGGUCAAUGAUCCAGCGCUAAAUUCUUAGAACUAAGGGAGAGUUGGAGAGAGAGGGGAGGGUGGACAGAAAAUGCUACUAGGCUGGGAGGUCCACGGGAGACUCGUUCGUGCCGAGACUGGCUAGUCUCAGCAGGCCUCUAAGAAAUAGAGCUUGCGGGCCAGAAGCUGCUCUAUGCGAUUUUAGUCAUGUAGGGAAUUAAUAUUACAAACCCGGGACCUGCCUGCAAGCGGGAGAAAUGUCAUCCGGGCCGCUAACGACUACUUUAGACUAGCAAAAUAUCAAAUAGGUCCCUGAGAAAAGGGUGCUUCGGUCCACUGGCACAAAGUUUAACUACGUAGCAUACACCACCCUAACAAAGUGUCAAUCACCCUAUUGUAACCAAUCAAUUUGAAAAAUAAAAUUUCCAAAAAAUAAAAUAAAAACUAUAAUAAAAAAUUUAAAAAAACUGUGCCGAAAUAACCUAAUUUCCGGCACAAUAUAUAUACAUACACAUACAUACACAAUAAAACGGAAGGCACUAAAGCAGUAUAGCAAAUGGAAACAUAACAAUAUAAAGAAGACAUUUAUUUUGGUGAUAUAAUACUAACCUUUGUUAACUUAUAAAUAAUAAUCGAAAUCAAUCUCGAUUUCCUGCCACGCUUUCCGCUUUUCGGCGACGUUUUUAAAAUCCGUUUUCUUGGCUUCCACUAUUUUUGCCUUUUUUUCUACUAAUGAAAAUAAAAUUGAUUUUUCAUUAGCAGAGAAUCUCUCGGAAAAUUGCCUUGCCAUACUAUCCAUUGCAUGAUUUAUUGCUAUUCAACCACAUGGAUAACACUAUGUUUACUAUUUAUGCACAGUAGAUUAAACGCUCACAAUAUACGUGUUUCCUAUUGGCUGAGUUUGUGACAUCAUAACCUGACGUCACUUAAUUCGGGCUUAUUCGCAUGAACUCGGCUACCUUCGUUAUUUAGUAAGCUUCCACCAAAUACCAUAAAGACUAAGGGUACGCACACAAAGGAAACAGGUUUCCCGCUAGCGGGCUGCCGGCGCCGAUUGGCGCGGAAAGUCGGCGCCGGUGCAGCACACAGAAGACGCGUGUAAAAGCAGGUGAACCAGCCAGUCGUGCAGCAGAUUUUGUGGGAGAAAUAUGUCGUCCAGUUAGUCAUUCGAUAAAGAAUUUAUUAUUUCAGAUAGUUUAACACCAAAAGUUAAAAGAAUAAAACCAAUGUGCACCCAAUAAACAGGGGCAGAUACAGGCAUGGUGAAUAUCAUACUUUAUUUAAGGAUUUGAAGACACAUAAUGAAAGAUUUUUCCAGUAUAUAAGAAUGACGCAUGGGACAUUGAGUACAUAUUAAAUAAAGUGGAUCAGCGGUUGACAAAGAGACAUGGUGUAAUUGGCACACUCAGCCCAUUCUGUCAGAAGAGAGACUAGUUAUUACAUUAAGGUAAGUUGUAUGUAUUGUACAUGUUUCCUCUGUGCUGAACUAAACUGCAACAUAACAUAAUUGAUACGUGUAUAAUAAACAGUGGCUAUCUUUAUGUUUUUUGAUAUAUUCCAUGUUAUCAAUAAGCCUAUUUCUCAUACAUCGCACCAGUAACCAUAUGCCUGUAGCAUUAGUAACCUACAGUUUUUCCUUCAUACCAAUGAAAGCUAUGUCGCACAGUAAAAUGUUAAUACCUAUUGAAGUUUAUGUUAGUAGCUGUUGACAAAGUAUCAUACGUAAUGUUUUCUUGUGAUUGAUAAAGUACCGGGGUAGUUGGACGUAGAACGUACAGGGUUGUUUCUGGGCCAGCAGGAGGUGAACAGUGGUAGGAAAGCUGCAAAUGCUGAGAUAAGGAAAGGUCCUGAUGGUAUGCAAAUUGUUCUACGAGUCCUUGCACCUUACUAUAAAACAAUAAUUUACACAAAUCCGGUAUUUUUCUCACAUGAGGGAGUAAACUCUUAAAAAAUUGAAGAUCAUCAUCAUUUUGCCUUGCUGCUUUUGCUUGUAGGUAUUGCAGUUUCUGUUUUUCCAGGUUCAAUAUAGACUCGUUAAAUAUUUCUAUAGAUCCGCGCUUCCUUUUUCCUGCUGGUGUAAAUGAAAUCGUCGGUGACAUUACAGAAUGUGUGGCACUACUGUCAUCGUAAACUGUAUCUAUGCAGUCUUCUUUUGAGAGCUGUCUUCUUGCUCGCUUAUGGAUGCUGUGUCAGAGGCAAGGACAGAAGGUUCGUGUGAUUCCACUGGUGAUUUAGGUGACAUAUUCCUCUCCAUAGGAUCUGUAGAUGGAAUCUUGCAUAGAUUUCCUGAGCUCUGUCUUGUGGAAACAAUGUCUUUAAGGAAGAGCAGUGACCGAAAAUACGGGCACUUAGACAUAUGGUCAGAACCUGCAUCAUCCCCUGAUCGCGAAGGUUUUUUUCCCCAGUUCUACUGCAAACUGGUCCCUGAGAUAUUUCCAUUUUUUUCUGGUGGUAUUUUCUGUAACAAAAGAAAUGACAAUCCUAUAAUAGUACUUGUUUGACACAUAUAUUUACCAACUGCUACAUUUCAUUAUUUGUUUCAGGUAUUUGGCAACUGGAGACUCUUUCAAAUCUCUUUCGUUUUCAUUCCGAAUGGGAGCAUCUACCAUCGGGAAAAUCGUUGCAGAGACUGUUACCGUUGACGCGAACCCCGCUACCUCUAUGAAAAUUUACGUAAGACUAGGGACCCGUCCUCCACAGGACCUCCCGCGGCUCCGACCAUCGGGGGGCUAGCCCCACACAAACAUUUCAUGCCCCGGAUGACAAAUGGUGCUGUCUGACGUACACCAGCUGACCUGGCUGGAUCGGUGGUGGGGGGUGGCUACUCAGGGGUGUGUGGGCCGCCAGGAAGUGGGCCUGUUGUUGUCUGGCAUGCUCCCUCCCCUCCUCACGAUUGGGGCGCACCACCAUGCCCAUGGCAACGUCGGCCACCCUGCUCUCUCCGGGCAACGCCAGGUUUUUUCCGUACAGGAGCUCGGCAGGGAAAUGACCGGUGACGGCGUUGGUGCGGCACCGGAGACAAUACAGCAGCUUUGGCAGGUGGACGUCCCUUGGAGUGGUCGUCGCCCAACCUUAGCCGCUGCUGCGCCUUGACCUCCAGGUUCCUCCUUUCAGUGGGGUUGGCCUGUGGAUGGUAGAUGGGAGUGGUGUGGUGGUCGAGGCCCCAUCGGUGACAGUCAGUUCGCCAGCGCCUCCUGCUGAACUGACAGCCGUUGUCCGUCAACAACACGUGCGCGAAACCAUACCGCGGGAAGAUUUCAUGGUCCAGCAGGGCUGCUAUGGUCCCGGCGUGCACGUUGGACACCCGGAAGGCCUCGACCCACCGGGUGAAAAUGUCAGUGAUCACGACCAGGAAUCUCUUUCCCCCAGUGGUCCGCGGGUAGGGCCCCAUUAUGUCCAGAGUCAGGGUGUGAAAUAGGUCGCAAGGCCGGCGGGGGCGCUGCUGUUCCACUCCGUCAGACCGCCUUGUCUUCCUCUGCUGGCAUGCUGGCAGCGCCGCAACAGGUCCCGUACAUCGCGCAUCACCCCUGGCCAAUGGAAGGUCUUACAAAUGUCCAGUUGUGUCUGGUGUGCGCCUGGGUGGCCCGCCAGUUUGUGCGUGUGGUGGAAGCACAUGACCUGUUCACGGGCACCGAACGGCACAUGAAUGCGCCAGGCAUCCAUAUCCCCGGGUACCCGGGUCUCCAACACCUAUGCGCCUCUGGUAGGGAUGAGACUGCUCCCCACGUGACCGCACCUCAGCCUGUGUGGGGUCGUCGGUCCGCUGGGCCUGUAUCAUGAACUCUUACUAAGUCGCUUAAGCCCGCCCCACACGAUGCCCAAUUUCUGCUAUCUUUUUUCAUACGCAUGGGUAUAACAGUGGGUAUAGAAGUUUGUAAACAAAAGUGGAAGCAGAAAUAUUACAAUCAUAUCCACACGAUCACCAAACUGGUAGCAGAUAUAAGUAAACAAACUGAAUAGUGCGCAGAGAACAGUCUUUUGUUAGUGUAAACAGACAAUAUGGAUGACAGUGAAAGUUCAUGCAUACGGAGAAGAAAAUUAUGCGCUGUCGUAGCAUUGACAUCAACACUUGCGAGAGAAAAGUCACGAUGUAAAAUUAAACGUAGGGCACGACAAUGGUGGACAAAACCUUGGCUCCAGAAACGAAAUGAAGGAAAUGGCCACGGCAUGUUGUCUUUACUCCGGAAUGAAUUGAGGUUAGUUAAAAUUGUGUUAAUAAUACAGGUAACUACUUUAAAGAUUUAUUAUUCCCUUUUGAUGUUCAAAAUGUUUGUAUCUGAUGGUCUUCACAAAAUCUACUGAUUUGUUAAUGUUUCAUAGGCUAUAUGACACCGAGAGUUUUAGAAACUUUGUGCGAAUGGAUGGGGCUCUUUUUGACGAAUUGUUGGGACGAGUGUGUCCCAUCAUUCAGAAGCAGAAUACAGUAAUGAGGGAAGCCAUCAAGCCCCGUGACAGGCUGGCUGUCACCCUUCGGUAUUUGGCAACAGGAUGCACAUACAAAGACUUGCAGUAGUCGACAAGAAUUGCGGCAAGCACACUUGGUGUCAUCAUACCAGAAACAUUGAAGGCAAUUUAUGACACAAUAAGGGAUGAAUGCAUCAAAGCGCCAGAUACUCCCGCUGAAUGGGAAGUGGUUUCUAAUGGUUAUCACAGCAUGUGGCAACUGCCUCACUGCAUUGGUGCCCUUGAUGGAAAACACAUCAACUUCAGACCGCCUCGAAACAUGGGCUCUUUCUUCAGGAAUUACAAAGGGCAUGACAGCAUUGUACUGUUGGCGCUUGUUGAUGCAGAAUACAAAUUUUUGUAUGUAAAUGUAGGAGUCAACGGCCGCAUGAAUGAUGCUGGAGUCAUUCGUGAGAGUGACCUUUCUGAAGCAUUACUUGGUGGGACUCUCAAUUUGCCCAAAAGCCGUCCACUGCCUGGAAGAGACUUGCCUAUGCCAUUUGUAAUAGUUGCUGACGAUGCAUUUCCACUUACACCAAAUAUAAUGAAGCCCUACCCAGACAAAAAUCUUUGUCAGGCCAAACACAUUUUUAACUACAGAUUGUGCAGAGGAAGUCGUGUGGUUGAAAAUGCAUUUGGUAUGAUGUCGAAUAAAUUCAGAAUAUUGCUGUCAACACUUCAGUUACCAGUUAAGAAAGUGGAGUUGUUGACAGCAGUAUGCUGUAUUUUGCAUAACUUCAUUCUGUUGCGAAAGAAUGUGCAUUACCUUAAGUCAUGUGUUGCGGAAGACACUGCUGAAAUUGACGAUUUCCUGCCAGUACUGCAAGGCCUUAGCCAACAGGGUGGAAAUCACCACAGCAGAGGGGCAGCAGCUGUUCGAAAUGAAUUCAGUGAAUAUUUCAGUGGUGUUGGAUCUGUUCCAGGGCAGGAUUCUAAGGUAAGGCUAAAUCAGUGGUAGGAAUUCUAUUCUUAACUGUCAAAGAGAGAGGCACAUCCAAAAUAAAUAAGUGAAUAAAAAUAAAUAAAUACAAUAAUGUUAUUUAUUUACUUCUUCGCAUAAUUUCUAAUCAUUCUGUAACAGCUUUGCCAGUGGGGCAAAACGAGCCUCGGAUGAGGUGCGAGAAUUGCAUUAGAGUAAGCCUCUAACUUGCGAGAAGUGACGGGAAUUGCGAAAUAUUUUUAGUUUUCUCAAUUUUUCUUCAGUGGCCAAUCGACCGUCAAGUAAUUAAUACGUUCUUCGAAUUCACUGAUAAAAAUAUAGAAAUAUAAUUUUUUUAUUUUGAAAUAGAAUAUUUAUUCAUUUCAUACAAUACAUUUACAUUCAGCGUGAUGGAAAUUCAUGAAACAAACCCCUGGUGGCUGUAGUCGCAAAUUUUUGGAUGUGUCCCUCUCCAAGUAAAUUACCGUUUUGUUACAAUUUCUUGCAUUUGGUGUUUGAGUGUAGCAAGAGACAAACUAUUAAAGAUUUGACCACACAGAAAGUUACACUAUGUUCGCAAUGUUCAUUGUCAGGAGGUAGUUAAGCCUGUAUUCCACGAUGGAAGUUUCCUUGCAAGGUCUUCCAUACCAGCUGUUAUGGAUUAUUCUGAGGUAGAAUUAGCAGAGCAUUGGCCGGUUUCAUGGAAGUUUUUGUAAUUGGCCAUGUUCAAAUUUCUGUAGGUUUCGUAGACGGUGGGAAUUUUAUUCAAUCAGAAUGACAUACAUAGUAAUAUACCCCUGGUGUUUAAAACAGUAAUUCAUUUAGGAGGGAUUGAGAUGUUUUUAGUAGUGGUGAAUACUUUUAUAUUCAUUUUGAAGAUCAUAGUUACAAUAUGUGUUUCGCAAAACGUUUUGCCAGUUGAUGGUUUUGAUGAUGUACUUGUAAAUGCUCCCCAAUUUUUUUUAAUUUUUUUUUUUUUAAGUAAAUGAGAGUAUUCAAAGUGUAUUUUUAAAUAAUCAAGUUGCCGGACCGUGGGCCCUAUUCUCGACGCUGCCGGAAUAAUUCCGGUAGCGGAAUGAUCCUAAAGUUUCAGCCCGGUAGACAACUAAAUGUCAAUUCUUGAAACUGCUAUUGUAACUACCGGAAUCAACAUUGUCGGUGUUUCGAAAUGUCUUUAUGGAAGUGUGGCAACGUUUAAUUUUGUGUUGACGUACCUGGUAGAAGGCCAAUCACAAAGAGGGAACGGUCUUUUGUUAUGAAAACGAAUGAAAUGUUUUCGUUAUAUUCAUAUCUUUUCAUUAGUUGAUGGACAUGGAGGUUAUGUAUGUAUAUAAAUACUAGUAAUAAUUAAAAAUGAAUUUUAUGACUUGACUUACAUGAAAACAAUUGCGGAAAUACCUAUAGUAUGUUGUGAAAUCAACAACUUUAUUUCAUGUAAUAAAAAGUACUACUAACACAUAAAUAUGUACAAAAAUAUUUACAAAUUCAUGUGCAAUUUUAGUUAAAAUCAAAGAUUCUUAUCACUUAAAAAUACUCGUUUUUUAGUUAUUGUUUCUGCUUACUUGUUAGAAUUUGGAAUUCUUAUCACUUGAAAAUACUCUGUUUUUAGUGUAGUAUUGUUUAUGCUUACUUUACCAUAACUUGUUAUAUGUUUGUGUAUGAAUUGAGGUGAAAAUAAAUUUUAUGCAGUGUUUCUUGAUUCAGAAAAUAAUUUGUGAAUGUGUACAUUGAGAUUUCUAUAAUAAAUGCAAGUCAGUAGGCCUACAAAAUUAUACAAUUUUAUGGACAGCUUCUUGGCAAUUAUUUCAGAGAGAAAGUUAGUAAUUGUUUGCUGUAGUGGACUUCUUGAAAACAAUCAAAUAUAUCCAUCAAAAAAAUCUUUCAACUAUAUAAUUGUUUGCUGUAGUGGACUUCUUGAAAACAAUCUUAUAUAUUAAUCAAAAAAAACCUUUCAACUAUAUCUUCUUUCAUCAUUUAUUUAAUAAUACUUUAUGGGUUUUCAUCUAUGUGUUGUUUUCAAUCAUAUUUUCUACAUGUAGGAAUAUUGGCUCUGUAUGCAAGAUAUGGAUGGGUCAAUAUGAUAACCUUUAUUGUCACAAUCACUUCUAUUUGAGGAAAAUUCAUGUAUAUGUGGACUCAUUUUGAGUACAUUUCAAUUCUGGGAUUGAUGUACUCUAAGAAUGCAUGUGCAUAACCUAACACUAGUUAUGUUCCAUCAAAACAUUUCUUUAUAAGUUAAUUUGUGUUUAUUCGGAGUAUUUCAUGUUAAUGUAUUGUUGACACAUGUGUAUCUUGAUAGUGCUGUGCUUUAAGUUUUUAUGUUACUGUAUUGCUUAUUUGUAAAAUGUUUUUUAAUUAUAGAAUUAACAUACUUUGCAAGACUGAUUUUUUAUUUAGUGUUCUGUAUACGUAUUUGCUAAUUAUUUCCCAUCAGAAUGACUAAAUUGUUUUUAAAACUAAGUUCUACUGUAUUAGUUAUACAUAGUUCCUCAAUAAAACAUUAUUUUAUGUAAAAAUUAUCUACUUGAUUGUUGUUAUUGUUGCUGGUUGUUGUAUAUAUUGUGGCAUUACCACUUUUGCAUUUUAAUGUGAACUUACGUUAAGAGGUUAAGUAAAAGGUAUGACCUAAUAUUGUAUUGCAUGUAUGUAGUUAUCAAGUGCUUGCUAAUAUUUAAUGUGUAUCGUGUUUGUAAGUUUUCUUAUGAAUAAACACAAAUUAAUUACAAUAUAUAUAUAUAUAUAUAUAUGUGUAUUUUAUUACUUUCAACUCUUUGGAAUGACAUUUUAGUAUCUUGGUAAUAACUAGGGACACCCGUAUUUCGUGAAUACAAUUCGUGUCAAGGUAUUUCACAAAGCACUGUAGCUUUUUCUUAGAGUAUUGGCGAAUAGUGACCGUCCAGCACUACGGUACUCACAUUCCCAUUGGCUCCGUCAAGGGCGGGAAGACACCUUUCACCGACCACAACCAAUAAAAUAUAAGAAAAAGCUACAGUGAUUUAUAAAAUACCUUAACAUGGAAUGUAUUCGCGAAAUAUAGGUGUCCCUAGUAAUAACGCUUCCAUUAGUUACACAUUAAUAUUUGGACCGAUUACACAUCAGUAAUUGUAUAACGAAGCACAAACUUGGUAUUUAAAUCACCUAUGCACAAACCAAAUUUUGUCUAACAUUUUCAUGCAAAAUUAAAAAUUCUGGAUACAUAAAAUGAGUAAUUAAAUCUUGUUAUUCAAACUUGGUUUGUUUAAACUAGGUGGUACCUGGCAUGUUGCUGCCAAAGAAGAAUUAAUUAUGUAAAUGUUUAUAAUUUGGAAGCAUUAUCUAGUUUAACUAGGAAUGAUAAAAUAUUUAUUUUCUUGUCAAUAAUGAAUACAUUAUAUGAAAUCCUAUGAUAUGUAAUAUUUGUACUGUCCCUA